UCACCAAGGCAACGAUGCGUAGCCGACCUGAGAGGGUGAUCGGCCACACUGGGACUGAGACACGGCCCAGACUCCUACGGGAGGCAGCAGUAGGGAAUCUUCCGCAAUGGACGAAAGUCUGACGGAGCAACGCCGCGUGAGUGAUGAAGGUUUUCGGAUCGUAAAGCUCUGUUGUUAGGGAAGAACAAGUACCGUUUGAAUAGGGCGGUACCUUGACGGUACCUAACCAGAAAGCCACGGCUAACUACGUGCCAGCAGCCGCGGUAAUACGUAGGUGGCAAGCGUUGUCCGGAAUUAUUGGGCGUAAAGGGCUCGCAGGCGGUUUCUUAAGUCUGAUGUGAAAGCCCCCGGCUCAACCGGGGAGGGUCAUUGGAAACUGGGGAACUUGAGUGCAGAAGAGGAGAGUGGAAUUCCACGUGUAGCGGUGAAAUGCGUAGAGAUGUGGAGGAACACCAGUGGCGAAGGCGACUCUCUGGUCUGUAACUGACGCUGAGGAGCGAAAGCGUGGGGAGCGAACAGGAUUAGAUACCCUGGUAGUCCACGCCGUAAACGAUGAGUGCUAAGUGUUAGGGGGUUUCCGCCCCUUAGUGCUGCAGCUAACGCAUUAAGCACUCCGCCUGGGGAGUACGGUCGCAAGACUGAAACUCAAAGGAAUUGACGGGGGCCCGCACAAGCGGUGGAGCAUGUGGUUUAAUUCGAAGCAACGCGAAGAACCUUACCAGGUCUUGACAUCCUCUGACAAUCCUAGAGAUAGGACGUCCCCUUCGGGGGCAGAGUGACAGGUGGUGCAUGGUUGUCGUCAGCUCGUGUCGUGAGAUGUUGGGUUAAGUCCCGCAACGAGCGCAACCCUUGAUCUUAGUUGCCAGCAUUCAGUUGGGCACUCUAAGGUGACUGCCGGUGACAAACCGGAGGAAGGU
rnacentral:rRNA from 1 species